UUCUGCCUGGCUCCCUGAAUGCCAUCUAAGAAGCUUUGUCGAUGCAGUUGGCAUACUUCCUAGUUGGCAUCUGGGGAGCCAUGCAGAC
rnacentral:pre_miRNA from 1 species